AAGAUUUAUCAAUGAUUUAGAUAGUAUUUGUUAAUCUUUGUAAUAUGUUUAAAGGAGUUGUUGUUGUGACAAAAAACAUCAUAGACUCGAUUGGUGGUUUAGUGAAUUAAUUUUGGACUCAGUUUGACAUUCGCUUAAAAUUUAAGCUUUCCCUAUAAUAACUGUAUUCAUAAUUAUUUUGAUUAAACAAUUUAUUCUAGUGUCAUUUAAAUAAUUACCUAUAACAGAGGUAAUUUAAGUAGUAACAUGUAAGCUAUCGUAAACAUCAUUCAAUUUGCCGUUCUAACUGACGGUAGAUUCACUAAAUUUUUUCAUAAUUAAUAACAUCCCCAAAAAUAGAUAGAGAAAUAACUGUAAAACAUUCCCUUAAUAAUAAGUUAAAAAAACCGUGAGUCCCUCCCAAGCUCACGGUUUU
rfam:Staphylococcus saprophyticus strain CNV2 Spades_5, whole genome shotgun sequence.